rnacentral:rRNA from 1 species
UAGGGAAUCUUCGGCAAUGGGGGCAACCCUGACCGAGCAACGCCGCGUGAGUGAAGAAGGUUUUCGGAUCGUAAAGCUCUGUUGUAAGAGAAGAACGAGUGUGAGAGUGGAAAGUUCACACUGUGACGGUAACUUACCAGAAAGGGACGGCUAACUACGUGCCAGCAGCCGCGGUAAUACGUAGGUCCCGAGCGUUAUCCGGAUUUAUUGGGCGUAAAGCGAGCGCAGGCGGUUAGAUAAGUCUGAAGUUAAAGGCUGUGGCUUAACCAUAGUACGCUUUGGAAACUGUUUAACUUGAGUGCAGAAGGGGAGAGUGGAAUUCCAUGUGUAGCGGUGAAAUGCGUAGAUAUAUGGAGGAACACCGGUGGCGAAAGCGGCUCUCUGGUCUGUAACUGACGCUGAGGCUCGAAAGCGUGGGGAGCGAACAGGAUUAGAUACCCUGGUAGUCCACGCCGUAAACGAUGAGUGCUAGGUGUUAGGCCCUUUCCGGGGCUUAGUGCCGUAGCUAACGCAUUAAGCACUCCGCCUGGGGAGUACGACCGCAAGGUUG